CACACAUAGGCACACAUUCACAAAUUUUAAACCUAAAGCCUGCUAUCAACACCAAGCAUCCUCUGGGUCUUUUUUUUUUUUUUUUUAAUAUCUAAAUCUGAACAAUUGUGCCCAUCAUUGUAAUAUUUUAGUAACAGUACAGCACAACAGUGUAUUGAAAGUACUGAAACCGACCACAGCAGCCAUAUUUACUUACAGAAUAGCAGCAACGAUUAGCUCCAAAAACAACACGGGAACAAAAGCAAUUGCAACCAUCUGUUCCAUCAGACACCGAAGCAUCGCCGCAUGCGGCCUUCCUUCAGCGGGAGGUGCUCUUUCCUGCCUUUUACUUUCUGCUCUUCCUUGGCCAAAUUUGCACUGGAGGAAGGCUGAUGACGCAGGAGGAGGAGUCCAAGUUCAAUUCUAGCCCCAAGUAGCUCAAAAUCUUUGAAACUUACUAUUGUGGAUCAGUAAAAUCCUGCUUCAGAAACUUCAGAAAAUAACAUCACAGAUAUGUUUGGGCCAGUCAUUUUCCCCUACCAUUAGUCAGUUAAGAUUUUUAGGUUGGAUUAUUUCUCGGCUGUAGAAAUGUCUGCUUUCUCACGGUAUGUACCAAAAAUAAAAACAUGAGCAAAUGAAUCAAUAA